UUAAUGUUUGGUCAUGGAGGAGACUGGAUGUGUCUGGCAUGCUGGCCAAUGGCAUUAAGGUGGAUGAACAUUCCUGCCUCAGACAUUCUUUCCUUGGAUUGAAAUAUCCUUUGGUGCUUCAAUUAUCUUGAACAAUAAUGAUACAUCUUCCUGAAAUUUUAGAUGGAGCUCCUUCUUACUCAGUUCCAGGAACACAACACAUUUUCUCUUGUACAAUUAUUUCUUUUCCUUCCAUCUAAGCUGGUCUCUCAUUGUAACAGCAUGUUCUAGGGCAGCCACGCUUCUUACCCCCAGCCGCUUUCUGGGAUCAGGUUUCGGGAAGGACUUGUCCUGGAUGGGUGUGCAAUGACAGUUGGCCUGCUGGGUCCCUGUUCCCAAAAAGAGUGCCCUCACAGCAUUUUGUUCCAAGUAAAGAUAAAGGCAAAUCCUGAG